CCCUUGAAGACGACGAGGUAGAUAGGUUGGGGGUGGAAGUGCAGUAAUGCAUGGAGCUGACCAAUACUAAUCGGUCGAGGGCUUAUCCUAAA
rnacentral:rRNA from 1 species